GACGAACGCUGGCGGCGUGCUUAACACAUGCAAGUCGAACGCUGAAGCUCAGCUUGCUGGGUGGAUGAGUGGCGAACGGGUGAGUAACACGUGAGUAACCUGCCCUCUUCUUUGGGAUAACGCCCGGAAACGGGUGCUAAUACUGGAUAUUCACUGAUUCUCGCAUGGGGGUUGGUGGAAAGGUUUUUUCUGGUGGGGGAUGGGCUCGCGGCCUAUCAGCUUGUUGGUGGGGUGAUGGCCUACCAAGGCUUUGACGGGUAGCCGGCCUGAGAGGGUGACCGGUCACAUUGGGACUGAGAUACGGCCCAGACUCCUACGGGAGGCAGCAGUGGGGAAUAUGGCACAAUGGGCGAAAGCCUGAUGCAGCGACGCCGCGUGAGGGAUGGAGGCCUUCGGGUUGUAAACCUCUUGCGCUCAUGGUCAAGCCGCAGCUUUGGGUUGUGGUGAGGGUAGUGGGUAAAGAAGCGCCGGCUAACUACG
rnacentral:rRNA from 1 species